rnacentral:rRNA from 1 species
AUACGGAGGGUGCAAGCGUUAUUCGGAAUCACUGGGCGUAAAGGACGCGUAGGCGGGUUGGCAAGUCAGAUGUGAAAUCCUACAGCUUAACUGUAGAACUGCAUUUGAAACUGCUAACCUAGAGUAUGAGAGGGGGAGAUGGAAUUAGUGGUGUAGGGGUAAAAUCCGUAGAUAUCACUAGGAAUACCGAAAGCGAAGGCGAUCUCCUGGAACAUAACUGACGCUAAGGCGUGAAAGCGUAGGGAGCAAACAGGAUUAGAAACCCUAGUAGUCC